CAUAUACUCCCUCCGUCCGGAAUUACUUGUCGUGGAAAUUGUUAGAAAUGGAUGUAUCUAGAACUAAAUUAUGUCUAGAUACAUCCAUUUGUCCGACAAGUAUUUCUGGACGGAGGGAGUACAUG
rnacentral:pre_miRNA from 1 species